AAAAAAAAAGGACCCCUUUAAUUCCAAAGAAUUAUGAUUUUUUUUUUUUUUAAGUAGGCUCCAUACUCAAUGUGGGGCUUGAACUAACAACCUUGAGGUCACAAGCCACAGGCUCUACUGACUGAGCCAGCCAGGUAUCUCUGUGAUAAGUCUUUAAAAUGCAGUAUAUGCUAGAAGGCAUUCAAUAAAAUUCAACAUCUGUAUACCUAGUGCUAGAAAACUAGGAAAAGAAAGACACGGUGUGAAUCAUUUUACCUUUCCUCUUUUCUGUGACCUAUUUUUCAGGGCAUCCCUAGAAAUCUCAUCGAUUGGAUGGAUGCUGUCUAAAAAUUGAUGGAUUUGGUCUGAAAAUUUUUGUCCUUUCUUAGGAAGUUUAACGUAUUUAUACUCAUAAUUAGAACAGUGCUCGCCAGUGAAAAUAACAGUACAGGCACGAUAUGAUUGCAACCAGCAGGGACAAAAGGAAUAGGAUGGGAGCUAGACCACACGUAUCCAGGAAUAUUCCCAAUGUAGGGACCUUAAAAAGGAGUUUUCAUUACUUCAGCAGAUAAGAUGGAUGCCGAGUCCACGCCUGGCGGGGUACUGCACAAUGUCAAGGAUGAGUGGGAUGAUUUUCGUGAUAGAAACUGAGAGGAUCAGAACUCCUAGGCACCAGGAGCUGGUGCUAAAGAUGAGUCAGACUGAGCCUUCUCCACAGAAGUGAGAGACAAGGACAUCUCAACAAAUGGCAAUCCUGUAAUGGACUGUAAUGGAAGUGUGCGGCUCAUGAAGGAAAGACCUCAUUCUUCAGAGGAAAUCAGAAAGGAGGACCCAUUAAAGGUAGAGA
rnacentral:lncRNA from 1 species